GAUGAACGCUGGCGGCGUGCCUAAUACAUGCCAGUCGAGCGAACGGACGAGAAGCUUGCUUCUCUGAUGUUAGCGGCGGACGGGUGAGUAACACGUGGAUAACCUACCUAUAAGACUGGGAUAACUUCGGGAAACCGGAGCUAAUACCGGAUAAUAUUUUGAACCGCAUGGUUCAAAAGUGAAAGACGGUCUUGCUGUCACUUAUAGAUGGAUCCGCGCUGCAUUAGCUAGUUGGUAAGGUAACGGCUUACCAAGGCAACGAUGCAUAGCCGACCUGAGAGGGUGAUCGGCCACACUGGAACUGAGACACGGUCCAGACUCCUACGGGAGGCAGCAGUAGGGAAUCUUCCGCAAUGGGCGAAAGCCUGACGGAGCAACGCCGCGUGAGUGAUGAAGGUCUUCGGAUCGUAAAGCUCUGUUAUUAGGGAAGAACAUAUGUGUAAGUAACUGUGCACAUCUUGACGGUACCUAAUCAGAAAGCCACGGCUAACUACGUG
rnacentral:rRNA from 1 species